AACGAACGCUGGCGGCAUGCCUAACACAUGCAAGUCGAACGAACCCUUCGGGGUUAGUGGCGCACGGGUGCGUAACGCGUGGGAAUCUGCCCCUUGCUUCGGAAUAACUCAGGGAAACUUGUGCUAAUACCGGAUGAUGUCUUCGGACCAAAGAUUUAUCGGCAAGGGAUGAGCCCGCGUAGGAUUAGGUAGUUGGUGGGGUAAAGGCCUACCAAGCCGACGAUCCUUAGCUGGUCUGAGAGGAUGAUCAGCCACACUGGGACUGAGACACGGCCCAGACUCCUACGGGAGGCAGCAGUGGGGAAUAUUGGACAAUGGGCGCAAGCCUGAUCCAGCAAUGCCGCGUGAGUGAUGAAGGCCCUCGGGUCGUAAAGCUCUUUUACCAGGGAUGAUAAUGACAGUACCUGGAGAAUAAGCUCCGGCUAACUCCGUG
rnacentral:rRNA from 1 species